rnacentral:rRNA from 1 species
UACGGGGGGGGCAAGCGGUUGUUCGGAAUUACUGGGCGUAAAGGGCUCGUAGGCGGCCAACUAAGUCGGACGUGAAAUCCCCAGGCUUAACUUGGGAACUGCGUCUGAUACUGGAUGGCUUGAGUUCGGGAGAGGGAUGCGGAAUUCCAGGUGUAGCGGUGAAAUGCGUAGAUAUCUGGAGGAACACCGGUGGCGAAGGCGGCAUCCUGGACCGACACUGACACUGAGGAGCGAAAGCCAGGGGAGCAAACGGG